AAGGUAGCAAUAUCAUUAGUCUUUUAAUUGAAGGCUGGAAUGAAUGGUUGGACGAAAUAUUAACUGUUUCAUUUAAAUUUUUUAUAGAAUUUUAUUUUUUAGUCAAAAAGCUAAAAUAAAUUUAAAAGACGAGAAGACCCUAUAAAUCUUUAUAUUUUAUUUAUUUUAAUUAUAAAGAUUAUUUUAAUUUUAAUAAAAUAAAAUAUUUUAUUGGGGUGAUAUUAAAAUUUAAAAAACUUUUAAUUUAUAAAAACAUUAAUUUAUGAAUUGUUGAUCCAUUAAUAAUGAUUAAAAAAUUAAAUUACUUUAGGGAUACCAGCUUAUUUUUUUUGGAGAGUUCAUGUCGAUAAAAAAGAUUGCGACCACCUCGUUGUCGGAAUAAGA
rnacentral:rRNA from 1 species